GGCCUCGUAGCUCAGUUGGCUGUACUAAAGCCUUCCCCUUGCUGGCGUGGGUUCGAAUCCCACCGAGGCCG
rfam:Schistocephalus solidus strain NST_G2 genome assembly, scaffold: SSLN_contig0000583